rnacentral:rRNA from 1 species
GAUGAACGCUAGCUACAGGCUUAACACAUGCAAGUCGAGGGGUAACGAGAGGGAAGCUUGCUUUCCUUGUCGACGACCGGCGCACGGGUGAGUAACGCGUAUCCAACCUGCCCCCAACUAGGGAAUAACCUCGCGAAAGUAAGACUAAUACCCUAUAAUUUCCUCAGAUGUCAUCUGACGAGGAAUAAAGAUUUAUCGGUUGUGGAUGGGGAUACGUCUGAUUAGCUUGUUGGCGGGGUAACGGCCCACCAAGGCAACGAUCAGUAGGGGUUCUGAGAGGAAGGUCCCCCACAUUGGAACUGAGACACGGUCCAAACUCCUACGGGAGGCAGCAGUGAGGAAUAUUGGUCAAUGGGCGGAAGCCUGAACCAGCCAAGUAGCGUGCAGGAUGACGGCCCUAUGGGUUGUAAACUGCUUUUAUACAGGAAUAAAGUUAGCCACGUGUGGUUAUUUGUAGGUACUGUAUGAAUAAGGACCGGCUAAUUCCGUGCCAGCCGCCGCGGUAA